rnacentral:rRNA from 1 species
CUCUAAGCUAUGGUAGAGACGCAGCAAACGGCUCAGUAACACGUGGCUAACCCACCUUUAGGACGGGCACAACCCCGGGAAACUGGGGCUAAUGCUCGAUAGGCGAGGACGCCUGGAAUGACCCUUCGCCUAAAGGGUGCUGAAACCAUGCACACAGCAUCGCCUAAAGACGGGGCCGCGACCGAUCAGGCAGUUGGCGAGAUAAAGGCUCACCAAACCUAUAACCGGUACGGGCCGUGAGAGCGGGAGCCCGGAGAUGGGCACUGAGACAAGGGCCCAGGCCCUACGGGGCGCAGCAGUUACGAAACCUCCACAAUGCACGAAAGUGCGAUGGGGCUACCCCGAGUGCCGUCCGCUGAGGAUGGCUUUUCCUUAGCGUAAUGAACUAGGGGAAUAAGGAGAGGGCAAGACUGGUGUCAGCCGCCGCGGUAAUACCAGCUCUCCGAGUGGUAGGGAUGAUUAUUGGGCUUAAAGCGUCCGUAGCCGGCUCAACAAGUCCCCUGUUAAAUCCAACGACCCAAUCGCUGGACUGCAGGAGAUACUGCUGGGCUAGGGGACGGGAGAGGCCGACGGUAUUUCCGGGGGAGGGGUGAAAUCCUAUAAUCCCGGGAGGACCACCAGUGGCGAAGCUGUCGGCUAGAACGUGCUCGACGGUGAGGGACGAAAGCUGGGGGAGCGAACCGGAUUAGAUACCCGGGUAGUCCCAGCUGUAAACGAUGCGGGCUAGGUGUUGGGGUGGCUACGAGCCACUUCAGUGCCGCAGCGAAGGUAUUAAGCCCGCCGCCUGGGGAGUACGGCCGCAAGGCUGAAACUUAAAGGAAUUGGCGGGGGAGCACCACC